GAUGAACGCUGGCGGCGUGCUUAACACAUGCAAGUCGAACGGAAAGGCCCAAGCUUGCUUGGGUACUCGAGUGGCGAACGGGUGAGUAACACGUGGGUGAUCUGCCCUGCACUUCGGGAUAAGCCUGGGAAACUGGGUCUAAUACCGGAUAGGACCACUUCUUGGAUGUUGUGGUGGAAAGUUUUUUCGGUGGUGGAUGAGCUCGCGGCCUAUCAGCUUGUUGGUGGGGUCAUGGCCUACCAAGGCGUCGACGGGUAGCCGGCCUGAGGGGGUGUACGGCGACAUUGGGACUGAGGUACGGCCCAGAUGCCUACGGUAGGCAGCAGGGGGGAAUAUUGCACAAUGGGCGCAAGCCUGAUGCAGCGACGCUGCGUGGGGGAUGACGGCCUUCGGGUUGUAAACUCGUUUCGCUAGGGACGAAGCGUUUUGUGACGGUACCUGGAGAAGAAGCACCGGCUAACUACGUG
rnacentral:rRNA from 1 species